CAGGUUGAAGGUUGGGGAACACUAACUGGAGGACCGAACCCACUGUCGUUGAAAAGCCAGGGGAUGACUUGUGGAUAGGGGUGAAAGGCUAAUCAAACUCGGUGAUAGCUGGUUCUCCCCGAAAGCUAUUUAGGUAGCGCCUCGGACGAACACCAUUGGGGGUAGAGCACUGUUUCGGCUAGGGGGUCAUCCCGACUUACCAAACCGAUGCAAACUCCGAAUACCUACAAGUGCCGAGCAUGGGAGACACACGGCGGGUGCUAACGUCCGUCGUGAAAAGGGAAACAACCCAGACCGUCAGCUAAGGUCCCAAAGUCAUGGUUAAGUGGGAAACGAUGUGGGAAGGCUUAGACAGCUAGGAGGUUGGCUUAGAAGCAGCCAUCCUUUAAAGAAAGCGUAACAGCUCACUGGUCUAAAUAAGGGUUCCUGCGGCGAAGAUGUAACGGGGCUAAAGUAAUGCACCGAAGCUUAGGGUUCAGAAUUUAUUCUGAGCGGUAGCGGAGCGUUCCGUAAGCGGAUGAAGCCGAAGGGUAACCGACGGUGGACGUAUCGGAAGUGCGAAUGCUGACAUGAGUAGCGACAAACAGUGUGAGAUGCACUGUCGCCGAAAGCCCAAGGGUUCCUGCUUAAAGCUAAUCUGAGCAGGGUGAGUCGGCCCCUAAGACGAGCCCGAAGGGGGUAGUCGAUGGGAACACGGUUAAUAUUCCGUGACCUGGUGGAAUGUGACGGAUCUCGUGUGUUGUCUGAUCUUAUUGGAUUGAUCAGGCUUCGAAGAGGUUCCAGGAAAUAGCUCCACCAUAUAGACCGUACCCUAAACCGACACAGGUGGAUAGGUAGAGAAUACUAAGGCGCUUGAGAGAACUCGGGUGAAGGAACUAGGCAAAAUGGCACCGUAACUUCGGGAGAAGGUGCGCCGGUGAGGGUGAAGGACUUGCUCCGUAAGCUCAUGCCGGUCGAAGAUACCAGGCCGCUGCGACUGUUUAUUAAAAACACAGCACUCUGCAAACACGAAAGUGGA
rnacentral:rRNA from 1 species